rnacentral:siRNA from 1 species
AUGUACCUUCCCAAUGUAAACUGC